rnacentral:misc_RNA from 1 species
GGGGAAUGGCAUAAAUACAAAGGAACAGAGAUAUGCUAUGUAUUGGAUCGCCGGCUGGAAAACUGCAGAGAAUUAAAUACUGUAUGCCAGAGCUGAGGCACUGUUUUGUAUGCCAGAGACGAAGAACUGAAACAGUGCUGGAUAUAGGACAAUUGCAUUACAGAAGCAGCUUCUUUUUCAUGCGCAAGAUGAGUUUGAACUUCUCUUC